AGUGAUCCUACGGGAGGCAGCAGUGGGGAAUAUUGCACAAUGGGCGAAAGCCUGAUGCAGCAACGCCGCGUGAGCGAUGAAGGCCUUCGGGUCGUAAAGCUCUGUCCUAUGGGAAGAUAAUGACGGUACCAUAGGAGGAAGCCCCGGCUAACUACGUG
rnacentral:rRNA from 1 species